UACAGAGGGGGCAAGCGUUGUUCGGAAUUACUGGGCGUAAAGGGCGCGCAGGCGGCCUUCUAAGUCGAACGUGAAAUCCCUGGGCUCAACCCAGGAACUGCGUCCGAUACUGGAAGGCUUGAAUCCGGGAGAGGGAUGCGGAAUUCCAGGUGUAGCGGUGAAAUGCGUAGAUAUCUGGAGGAACACCGGUGGCGAAGGCGGCAUCCUGGACCGGCAUUGACGCUGAGGCGCGAAAGCGUGGGGAGCAAACAGG
rnacentral:rRNA from 1 species